UCCAGCUGUGUCUUCACGGACCUUCCUGUGCCUACCCAUGGUGGAAGGGGGGGAGGAGGUGUGGGCCUUUGAGCUUCACUAGAGGCCUGAGGGAGCAGAGGUGCUCCCCAAGACCUUGACUCCUUCCCUCACCCUCCUCCCAUCACUCUCCUCACUGUAGCUAUGGCCAGGUGAGGGCACAGGGAGACUUCAGGACCUUGCUCAGCCCAGGGCAUCAGAUAAAAAUACUUAGAAAACGAUUGCCCACUCAGGCUUUGAGGGGAGGCUGAGCCUCACUCUCAGGCCAAAACAAUUGGGGGAUUUCAAGGGAAUUUGAUUGUACUGAAGUUCCCAGACUCUGCCAUCUAAGACUUAUGCCCUCUUAGCAGAGCCCAGCACUGAUACCAAAAUGGAUCAAGGCUAAUAGAUAAGCCUAGAAUAUUCUAGCUGGCACCGACUUGUGGAAAAGACAAGUAAAAAAAUGGAUGCAAUAAGAUGGCAUCCUACAGCGAGGAGGGGUGAGCUUGGGUGGGGGAGGGUAGAGGAGCCAUUAGAGGGUUGGACAAGGAGGACACAGGAUCUGAGGUAAGUUUCUGAGGACAAUUCCAGAUGCUUCAGAGAAGAUGAACAAGGGAGUAGGAAGUGUGACGGCCAUGGGACCAGAUGGGGCCACUGGGAGAGAGUGGUCAGAUUCAGCACCGGUGUCUGGGGAGGAGGGACCGAAGCCUGGGGGAGGGGAGAGUGCAAGGCGGGCCUUAGGACCUGAGAGGGACGCAGUGAUCACACUGCUGAGGGGUCCUUCAAGCGCAAGGGGGCUGCAGGAAGGCUGGAUGUCAUUGUCACAAUGAAAACUUAGACAACAGCUCCCCAGCCUUGUUCAAAGUCAUCACACGCCUUUCUCCUCUCCACAUGGCAACAGGCAGAGGAAAACUUAUCUCUGAGAUAUGUAAGAUGUUAGUUCUCCAUAACCUCUCCUGUCCCCUGACUGAAUUCCUAUUUGGAAACAAAAUGACUCUCCAGUUUUAUGUACGACAUCUUCACUUUUUAGUUCCAGAAUGAGAAAGAUCUCCCCUCCCUGACCCACUGGUGAGGAAUCUCAGCCUUCAAGACAACUGGACUAUAUAACUGCCAUCUCCCAUGACAGCAUCAUGGUGACCAGGGAGACUAUCUGACCAGCCACACACUGCCUGUCCCUAACAUUGCAGCUGAGGACCCUUACAUGCUGAACCCAUGGCUGGGAGAUCUGGGGUCCAGACAAGACAGGAAAAGGAAAAAGACCAGGAGCUCUGCCUAAGCAGCCCCACUGUGUGAAUCACUGCACCCUCCACCCUCAUCUUUAGUUCAUGAUGGGUGUUGUCUUGUGAAAACUGACAGCUGGGCUGAGACACAGGCAAGAGUGUCUCAGUCUCAAAAAACUCCAUCUUGGGCUCUCUGACUUUUCUGAUAUUCUUUUCACAGAUCAAUUCCGGGCCAAGACACAUCAUUCCCAUCAAGGAGGCAUUGAUAGGAGAAUCAGGCAGCCUCAGGAGAGACAAGAAGCAGAUAAACACCCUCAUGUUGGCCUCCUAAGUUCAGAGGAGAAACAAAGGGGAAAGAAGCUCAAGAAGCCACACUAGAUGUCACUGAUCACCAUCACCUCAGCACCUGUCCUCCAUCUAGCCCUCUUUCAAGAGAGGACCAGACUCAGGGAACAGCACCUGCACCUCCCCCUCUGUCCCUGCACUGCAUAGGGAGCCUCCUUCUGCUCUCAUCUCAAGGUGGCUGCUCCACGAGGUCAGCUUUGUCACUGCUGAGAGUCUUCCCUUGGUCCUGGUCCCAGGGUCUGGGGUCAACGGCAACCUGGUGUUGACUCAGCUGUGACCCUGCCCCUUCAGGACACAAAGCCAAUUAAACUAUUAAAGUCAUAACUGAACUUCCUAGUUUACCCAAACUUUAGAUUCUCCUUCUCAGUGUCCUUCUAGAAAGUGCUGUCUAUAUCAAAUAAUAACGUGUUAUUUCCUCAGGUGUAGAGCCAUUUGAUUUCCAAAAUUCUGUACUUAAACUUAUGUUCUCAUUUCCUGUCAUGGCUCAUUUUCCACUCAGCAGCUAAUGAUGUGAACCAUGUAUCUACGGCCCAUUGUCACAAAAAAGAGAGAUGGGAGGGUUCUUAAAUAAAUAGAGGGUUAGAAAAGAAGAGUUUCAUUACCUCUUAGGAAUUACUCCAAGAGCCAAGAAAAUUAAUUCCAGAGCUUCAAGAGUUUACUCCUCAAAAACAACAGCAUGAAUACAUUAGGUAGUGAAUGUUCUUGGUCUUCUCAAUGAAUAACCUCUGAAAGGUCCAGAGUAUAUGUGUCAAAAAGGUAUGUGCAUAACUCUCAUAAUAAUGUAGUAUUAAUUUAUGUCAACAAUUUUAAUGGGUAUAUAUUUCUGGAAAAAAAAGCAGUAUGAUGGUAAAAGAAAUGUAAAAAGCCUUUUAAAACCACAGUGCUUAUAGUCCCCCAGGAUAGCACCUGUGAAGCAAAUUUUUUUUUUUUUUGCUGAAGAUGCACUGUCUUUUAGAAAAUAGCAAGAUAGUUUAAAUUUGUCUUCUUCUCUCACAACGCUCUAAAAAUUAACAUCAUCCCAUUUAUAUGAAAUAUCUAGAAAUAUACCCCUACAUGUGGACAUUCCCAUCAGACAUCUCCCAUCCAGGCUCUCCUAAGGUGGAAUCUCCUCUUUUUCUGCCCAUGUUCUCCCCCUCUCCACCUCUCUCCUGCUGACACGUGGCUCUUCCCUGUCUUCCUCUCCAGUGACCCCAGCAGAUCAGGGCCAACCAGUGAACAAGCUCCUGGACUUGGGGAACAAAAGUGCAUCUUCUUGGAUUUCUGAGGACUUGCCCUGCCACGGUGUCUUUCUCAAUCACAGUCACUCCUUCUUGGGAACCCACUUCUCCUAGAUCCUGUUAUUUAUCUAAUGUUAUUCAUCUGUAUCUACUUGGUGGAUGUCCCUACAUCUUCACCUGAACCCCGGAAAUCUUCAGGUCAUGCCCACAUUUCCUUUGUUUUCCUGUACUCCCUUCUUCCUUCUUCCCCUGUGAUCACACCUAGUCAAGAUCUCUUCUCGGACCCUGGAGUGCAGCAGGGACUUCUCUGAUCUCUGCCCCAGAGAUUAAGGGAGUGGAAGGGAGGACUUCUGUGCCCCUCCUAUGCCUGUGUUUUCAUCAGCGCAGCUGCACAAGGUAGGGAUUAGGCUGUCUAGAUCAACAUGGCAAAUCCAACCCUGCGCUCUAUGCUCCGCAAAAGAUACGUGCUCAUAACUAUUUGACAGAAACCUUCCUCUUAUCACAUCAGUCCCAGGAUGGGGCUGACCUGGGAGAGGUAGCUGUGGACCUGCUCCUCACGGUGCCCUCACCGAAGAGCUCAUGGGGCAUCCACCAGGAAGAGCAUUCCUGGGCAGGGAAGGGGUCAUGGGCAGCCUUGUUCUGCAUGUGAGGCAUGGCUCAGUGCAGUCAGAAGAUCCAGAUGACUAUGACUGCAAUUCUGGGGAAGUAAAGAGUGAAGAACCAGAAUAACCCUCUGGGAAUGUGCCCUGGGCAUCCUAGAGGGAAGAGCUUCCCUCCUACUCAGUGCUGCAGGAUCCACAGAAGAAGGAGAGCUCUGGACGCCAGGGAGGAGCCACAUGAGAUGAGAGGACCCGGUGGCCCUACAUGUGGGAAAGUGAUCCAUGAAAGUUGAUCCUUGCUCUGGGUUUGAUUCUGUCCUAUGAGGACAUUGUGUAGUCACCACCUGAGUCCUCUAUAAUAAACAGUGAGAGCGCCGCAGACAGUUUCACUCGUGAGGAGCCCAGUAAAGUGGGAGAACUGCCCUGAGGUCACAGGGAGAAGACCUCAGGCACCACCUGGCCUGGCCCUGAGCCGGGGCAUUGGACAGAACAGCGGGGAGGCAGCAGUGUCUCUGGAGGCUCUGGUCACCUUAUCAUACAACGGUUUGUCUUGGUCUGGACACCAGGGGGCGCUUGGGGACCAUUCCUGAGAAGACUGGGGGUGAUCAGAGCAGAACCAGCCACCUGCCCUGCCUGGUGUCCUCUGCUCAGGGCUCACAGCUGCAUCCUCCCCACCCACUGGGACCACACAGCCCUGCCCCUGCCACCCCCUGACAUCCUCAGGCAUAGGGACCUGACCCAGGGCCCAGGGUGGGAUUAGAAAGCUGGGGACCUGAUUUGCAUGGAUGGACCCUCCCACUCUCAGAGUAUGAAGAGGGGCAGGGAGAGAUUUGGGGAAGCUCUGCUUCAGCUGUGGGCACAGGAGGCAGCACUCAGGACAGUUUCCAGCAUGGCCUGGUCUCCUCUCCUCCUCACCCUUCUCAUUCACUGCACAGGGUCCUGGGCCCAGUCUGUGCUGACGCAGCCGCCCUCAGUGUCUGGGGACCCCGGACAGAGGGUCACCAUCUCGUGCACUGGGAGCAGCUCCAACAUUGGAGGUUAUGAUGUACACUGGUACCAGCAGGUCCCAGGAACAGCCCCCAAACUGCUCAUCUAUGACAAUAAUAAGCGACCCUCAGGGGUUUCUGACCGAUUCUCUGGCUCCAAGUCUGGUACCUCAGGCUCCCUGACCAUCACUGGACUCCAGUCUGGGGAUGAGGCUGAUUAUUACUGCCAGUCCUAUGACAGCAGCCUGAGUGCUCACACAGUGCUCCAGGCCUGGAGGGAACUGAGACAAGAACCCCCUUCCUCCUCUGCCAGGAGGGUGAGCACUCAGCUGCUGCUCACGCCUGACCUGUAGCUUCUGCUGCUGUAACUUCCCCCAUGGGCCUAGGGGCAGCCAGGGCCCUGCCUAGGAGUGGAAACUCCCCGACCUUUGUCCUCAGAGUCAGGAACAGGGCCUCCAGGAAACAGAAUAUCCUGCUCCCGCAGUUUGAGGCACAGGGUCUCUGUACUGAAAUCCUGGGCCUAGGUGGCAGGUCCACCUGUGUCUUCACAGACCCUCCUGUGCCUGCCCAUGGUGUGGGGAGGGGGUGAGGAGGUGUGGGCCUUUCGCUUCACUAGAGGCCUGGGGGAACAGAGUUGCUCCCCAAGACCUGGACUCCUCCUCUCACCCUCCUCUCAUUGCUCUCCUCACUGUAGCUAUGGCCAGGUGAGGGCUCAAGGCUACCUGAAAACCUUGCUCAGCCCAGGGCCUCCAUCGCAGGCAUUGUUUCCAAACUCUGUAAGCGCUGUCUCUGAAUCUGUAGAAACAUUUAUUUCUAUGUGCCCAGGACAGGGUUAGAGGGCACCAACCCCACCCCUUGCAAACUGCUCAUCACCUCUCCAAGCCCCAAUGAGGAGAAGAAAGAGUCAGAAAUCAGAAGCCUACCCAAGGCUCCCCUCUCUCCUCUCUCCCAGCCACCCCCUGGCUUCCUCCUUCCACAGAAAUAAAGAGGAGGCAGCCACAGAGGGCAAGGAGAGGCCCAGGCAUUAUACUAGGCAGCAGAGCGAGGCAUUCUUCCCAGAUGAUGGUGGGAGGUGAUGGAGGUGUCUGAGACCACAAAAUAGUCAGGACCUACCGGGCGCGGUGGCUCACUUGUGUAAUCCCAGCCCUUUGGGAGGCCUAGGCAGUCGG